UUAGGCUUCCUCAAUUAUCUCCCAUGCGACCUAAACAAUCUCCACUGACGAAGCCCGUCACGCCGGCCGCAGAGCAAUCUCCUUUGCCGCCGUGACGAGGUCGGCCGCAUCGCGAUAGGGCUGCGAGGGGCGCCACGAGACUGCCGAUUGUCCUUCAAAUCCGUUACUCAGCACAGUUGCUGGAUCUUAUGCUUUUCUUUGGAUGCCAAUGGAGAUGGUACUGCUUUACAAAUUCAGUUAGUGAGCACCUGAAAUAGUUGAUGCUGGCAUGGAUGCCACGAGUGAUUGGGUUGACAAUGAGCACCGGGAGGGGCUCUUCAAUGCGUGGGGUGUUGAUGCAUCGGAGAAGUUGACCUGGGCGUGUAUUCAGCCUGAAAUUUUCAGGUACCAUCUUCAUUUUCGGAUCCAAUUAUUUUAUCAGAUCUUAUUUUUUACCUGAUAAUGUGCCGAACCAACGUAUGGUGUGUGGAUCCUCAAUUUGGAUCUGUGAUCUGCAAACCUAUCAGAUUCAACUAAAAGAGCUAGGACUUAGAUGGAUCCGACCUGGUUCAGUAGCUCAGGUUCACAGGUUCAUGUCACAAAUCAGCCAACAUUUGUGGCUUCCCUUGGUCCAAUGGCAAGCACCUACCCAUAAAAAUCCACUGCUAAGUUUAAUGUAUUGCAUCUGGGUGAGAGGUGGUGGUCAUUCUCCAGUUUCUGCUGCUUCGGAUUUAAUCCAGUGGGGCGAAUCCAUUAUUGUUUAAGGUGCAAUGCAUCUGUGAGGAGGACAUUUGAUUCUGCUGGCCGCUAUGCUCUCCCUUGUUGGAUCAACCUGUUCAGACAUUGAUGGAUGUGCCCCAAGUGCUCAUUUUGGCUUCCAACAUCAGUUUGGUAAGCAAGGAUCAAGGUGCAUCGUACAUGGGUGCUGCUUUGGAUCCCAGUAAUGUCGUCAAGAACAAUUUAUCUACCGAGGGAACGGUAAAUGGAUCAUUUACUGUCUCACAUGGGUUAUGCUCGUGGGGUGGCCCUCCAUGGGACCACCGAGCACUAAAUCCAAUGGGGAUCUGAGCUGCGGUAACUCUCUUUCUCUCUCUAGAUUUUGCAAUCUGCCACAGUACUACUGAAUCAGGGUGCCCACCAUCUCGACUGCAUCAAUUUCUACCUGGCCUCCAAAUCUAGAUCUAUGAUAGUACCAGUGAACCUGCAGAACGCAAUCCAUUUCCUUUCCUUGUGCCCUUUGAUCUCAGCUUGAUGAUUACCUUUGUGGAUGUGAAAUCAAAGCUCUCUCCAUCCAUCCAUCUUUCUGCGUCCAUAUUCCAUCGCUUUUUGU